rnacentral:rRNA from 1 species
CCAGACUCCUACGGGAGGCAGCAGUGGGGGAUAUUGCACAAUGGGGGAAACCCUGAUGCAGCGACGCCGCGUGGGCGAAGAAGUAUUUCGGUAUGUAAAGCCCUAUCAGCAGGGAAGAAGAAAUGACGGUACCUGAGUAAGAAGCACCGGCUAAAUACGUGCCAGCAGCCGCGGUAAUACGUAUGGUGCAAGCGUUAUCCGGAUUUACUGGGUGUAAAGGGGGCGCAGACGGCGAUGCAAGCCAGGAGUGAAAGCCCGGGGCCCAACCCCGGGACUGCUCUGGGAACUGUCCGGCUGGAGUGCGGGAGGGGCAGGCGGAAUUCCUGGUGUAGCGGUGAAAUGCGUAGAUAUCAGGAGGAACACCGGCGGCGAAGGCGGCCUGCUGGACCGCGACUGACGUUGAGGCUCGAAAGCGUGGGGAGCGAACAGGAUUAGAUACCCUAGUA